GACGGGUGAGUAACGCGUGGGUAACCUGCCCUGUACACACGGAUAACAUACCGAAAGGUAUGCUAAUACGAGAUAAUAUGCUUUUAUCGCAUGGUAGAAGUAUCAAAGUUCCGGCGGUACAGGAUGGACCCGCGUCUGAUUAGCUAGUUGGUAAGGUAACGGCUUACCAAGGCGACGAUCAGUAGCCGACCUGAGAGGGUGAUCGGCCACAUUGGAACUGAGACACGGUCCAAACUCCUACGGGAGGCAGCAGUGGGGAAUAUUGCACAAUGGGCGAAAGCCUGAUGCGGCAACGCCGCGUGAGCGAUGAAGGCCUUCGGGUCGUAAAGCUCUGUCCUCAAGGAAGAUAAUGACGGUACUUGAGGAGGAAGCCCCGGCUAACUACGUGCCAGCAGCCGCGGUAAUACGUAGGGGGCUAGCGUUAUCCGGAAUUACUGGGCGUAAAGGGUGCGUAGGUGGCUUCUUAAGUCAGAGGUGAAAGGCUACGGCUCAACCGUAGUAAGCCUUUGAAACUGGGAAACUUGAGUGCAGGAGAGGAGAGUGGAAUUCCUAGUGUAGCGGUGAAAUGCGUAGAUAUUAGGAGGACACCAGUUGCGAAGGCGGCUCUCUGG
rnacentral:rRNA from 1 species